rnacentral:rRNA from 1 species
ACGUAGGGUGCGAGCGUUAAUCGGAAUUACUGGGCGUAAAGCGUGCGCAGGCGGUUGUUCAAGACAGAUGUGAAAUCCCCCGGCUCAACCUGGGAACUGCAUGUGUGACUGCACGACUGGAGUGAGGCAGAGGGGGAUGGAAUUCCGCGUGUAGCAGUGAAAUGCGUAGAUAUGCGGAGGAACACCGAUGGCGAAGGCAAUCCCCUGGGCCUGCACUGACGCUCAUGCACGACAGCAUGGGGAGCAAACAG